GUGGAGAAAGUUCCCGAAAAACUACAAGUAGAACUAUUACCAGCUCGCUGACAGCAGGUACAGCUGCAGUGGUUGCGGUGGCAUGGCUUCCUCCAUCGCGUCCGCGUCGUGCGCACUGACCUUGCAUCCCAGGGUCGCCACGGUGGUUGCAGCUGCGGCGGUGGCAGGCCCCUCCUGCUGCCGCGUGCUGCUCGCCGUUGCGCCUCCCCGCUCGGCCUGGUCGAUGCGCCGGGUGGGGAUUCUCGCGCCGCUCCGGUGCUCAGCGCUUGAGGACCCCGGUGCUGGUAGUGAGGAAGGCAAGAAGGAGAAGGGAAGCGUGAGAAAGCAAGCGCGCGGGAGGCCGGUGUGGAGGCGGAUCCUGUUCGCCUCCAAGAAGACGCGCAGCAUCAUGAUCCUCAACGCCCUCACCGUCAUCUAUGCAAGUGACAUUCCAGUUCUGAAAGAGGUUGAAGCCCUCACAGAACCUGCAGUUUUCAACAUGGUGCGCUUCGUUGUUGCAGCCAUCCCCUUCGUACCAUUCAUGAUACGCGCAUUUGGAGAUCGCCGUAUACGAAAUGGAGGAUUAGAGCUAGGAGUUUGGAUUAGCUUGGCGUACCUUGCUCAAGCAAUUGGGUUGAUCACAUCUGAUGCUGGACGAGCAUCCUUCAUUAUGGCCUUCACGGUGAUAGUUGUGCCUUUGAUUGAUGGCAUAUUUGGAGCCUCUAUCCCCAAGCUGACUUGGUUCGGGGCCAUAGUAUCAAUUAUCGGGGUUGGCCUGCUAGAGUGUGGUGGCUCUCCUCCUUGUGUUGGUGACGUGCUGAACUUCUUCAGUGCGGUGUUUUUUGGGAUCCAUAUGCUUAGAACGGAGCAAAUAUCAAGAAGUACAGACAAGAAAAAGUUCAUGUCUCUUCUUAGCUUUGAGGUCCUUGUUGUGGCUUUCACCUCGAUACUCUGGUUUUUGUUCAAAGAUGGUUUUGUUGAAGUCCAAGAUUCCAGCUUUGAAUCAUGGACCUUUGGUAUGCUUUGGGAUUCAGCAGCUUCUUUUCCAUGGAUACCGGCAUUGUACACCGGAGUCCUUUCUACAGGGUUAUGCAUGUGGGCAGAGAUGGUAGCGAUGGCCCAUGUUUCAGCAACAGAAACUGCGAUUGUUUAUGGGCUAGAACCAGUAUGGGGAGCUGCCUUUGCUUGGUUCCUCUUAGGUGAAAGAUGGGACAAUGCUGCAUGGAUUGGAGCUGCACUUGUACUAUGUGGAAGCCUAACUGUGCAGCUAUUUGGGUCAGCUCCUGAAAAGUCCAAGAAAGUAGAACCACGCAACAGGAAUGCAUUGGAAACCACACUGAAACAGCAGGACCGCUUCUCCCUAUCUGCCAUCCCUGUCGAUUCCAGGAAGAACAUAGGGAGCCAAUUAGAGAGGAAGGAUAAAACAUUGUAGCCCAACGUCAAGGCUGUGACUUAUCCUCUGAAGACAAGGUCAGAGUCACAACUAUAUAAGCCAAACCAAGUGUCCUUAUAUUCUCCUAGCACAUGUUGCUUGGUUCAUCAAAUACAGCUGGCUAUUCCCCUGAUCCCGGAGGAAGGGUAAAACAUUGUAGCCCAACGUCAAGGCUGUAACGUAUCCUCUGAAGACAAGGUCACGAUCACAACUGUAUAUAAGCCAAACCAAGUGUCAUUAUAUUCUUCUAGCACAUGGUUUCUUGGCUCAUCAAAUACAGCUUUGCUAUUCCCAUGAUCUCGGAGGUGAGUUUCCUUUUAGGCCGUCAACUGUCCUAAUUAACUAGUAACUAAGGAUAAGAUAAUGCCACUGUACAUAUUAGAAACUGUGGCAUUACUGGCUGGAAACAAGAGAUCGGAGGUUUACCCUGUACAUGGUCGGCUGCAUGCCGGUGUGAAGUGGGAAUUUGACAGCUUGUAAAUGGGAUGUUCACCGUACCAUUGGAUAGAUUCCUUGUAAAUAUAUUAUGUAGCUAGAUGAUCAUAUGUAAAUGCAUUGCACAUAGCUGCCCUUAUUGUCAAGUUUAUAAGCCUGUUGGCCGAGCGCUAGCCACUUACCAUGUAAAUCUUAGCCUUGGAUAAAUGUAGUUGAUACUGUUAUACAAAAUAUAGUUGAUGAUUCAUUGCAAAUGUAUUAAA